UUGAUCCUGGCUCAGGAUGAACGCUAGCGACAGGCUUAACACAUGCAAGUCGAGGGGCAGCGGGGAGUGAGGCUUGCCUUACUCUGCCGGCGACCGGCGCACGGGUGAGUAACACGUAUGCAACCUACCCUUUACAGCGGGAUAACCGGAAGAAAUUUCGCCUAAUACCGCAUAUACUCCUUGGGAGGCAUCUUCCGAGGGGGAAAGAAUUUCGGUGAAGGAUGGGCAUGCGUCGCAUUAGUUAGUUGGCGGUGUAACGGACCACCAAGACGACGAUGCGUAGGGGUUCUGAGAGGAAGGUCCCCCACACUGGUACUGAGACACGGACCAGACUCCUACGGGAGGCAGCAGUGAGGAAUAUUGGUCAAUGGCCGAGAGGCUGAACCAGCCAAGUCGCGUGAGGGAAGAAUGUCCUAUGGAUUGUAAACCUCUUUUGUCAGGGAGCAAAGUCACCCACGUGUGGGUGUUGGAGAGUACCUGAAGAAAAAGCAUCGGCUAACUCCGUGCCAGCAGCCGCGGUAAUACGGAGGAUGCGAGCGUUAUCCGGAUUUNUUGGGUUUNAAAGGGNUGCGUAGGCGGGUUAUCAAGUCAGCGGUAAAAUCGUGGAGCUCAACUCCAUCCAGNCCGUUGAAACUGAUGAUCUUGAGUGGGCGAGAAGUAUGCGGAAUGCGUGGUGUAGCGGUGAAAUGCAUAGAUAUCACGCAGAACUCCGAUUGCGAAGGCAGCAUACCGGCGCCCGACUGACGCUGAAGCACGAAAGCGUGGGUAUCGAACAGGAUUAGAUACCCUGGUAGUCCACGCAGUAAACGAUGAAUACUAAUUGUGUGCUCCGAAUGAGGAGUGCGUGAUACAGCGAAAGCGUUAAGUAUUCCACCUGGGGGAGUACGCCGGCAACGGUGAAACUCAAAGGAAUUGACGGGGGCCCGCCACAAGCGGAGGAACAUGUGGUUUAAUUNCGAUGAUACNCGAGGNAACCUUACCCNGGCUCAAACGCAGGAGGGAUGUUUUUGAAAGGAGGCAGCUCUACGGAGUCUCCUGCGAGGUGCUGCAUGGUUGUCGUCAGCUCGUGCCGUGAGGUGUCGGCUUAAGUGCCAUAACGAGCGCAACCCCUACCGCCAGUUGCCAACGGGUAAAGCCGGGAACUCUGGCGGGACUGCCGGCGCAAGCUGUGAGGAAGGCGGGGAUGACGUCAAAUCAGCACGGCCCUUACGUCCGGGGCGACACACGUGUUACAAUGGCAGGUACAGCGGGAAGCCACUUGGCGACAAGGCGCGGAACCCGAAAACCUGUCUCAGUUCGGAUUGGAGUCUGCAACCCGACUCCAUGAAGCUGGAUUCGCUAGUAAUCGCGCAUCAGCCACGGCGCGGUGAAUACGUUCCCGGGCCUUGUACACACCGCCCGUCAAGCCAUGGAAGCCGGGGGUGCCUGAAGUGCGUGACCGCAAGGAGCGCCAUAAGGUAAAACCGGUGACUGGGGCUAAGUCGUAA
rnacentral:rRNA from 1 species